AUUGAACGCUGGCGGCAGGCCUAACACAUGCAAGUCGAACGAGUGGCGGACGGGUGAGUAAUGUCUGGGAAACUGCCCGCUGGAGGGGGGUAACUACUGGAAACGGUAGCUAAUACCGCAUACCAUCGGAUGUGCCCAGAUGGGCUUAGCUAGUAGGUGGGGUAACGGCUCACCUAGGCGAGGAUCCCUAGCUGGUCUGAGAGGAUGACCGGCCAGACGGGAACGGAGAAAGGGUACAGACGCCUAGGGGAGGCAGCAGUGGGGAUUAUUGCACAAUGGGGGCAAGCUGGCUGCAGCAAGGCGGCGUGUAUGAAGAAGGCCUUGGGGUUGUAAAGUACUUUCAGCGGGGAGGCGUUACUCGCAGAAGAAGCACCGGCUAACUCCGUGCCAGCAGCCGCGGUAAUUC
rnacentral:rRNA from 1 species